GGGUUCGUGGUCUAGUUGGUUAUGACGCGGCCCUUACAAGGCCGAGAUCGGCGGUUCGAACCCGCCCGAACCCA
rnacentral:tRNA from 1 species